UGGGGAAUAUUGGACAAUGGGCGAAAGCCUGAUCCAGCCAUGCCGCGUGUGUGAAGAAGGUCUUCGGAUUGUAAAGCACUUUAAGUUGGGAGGAAGGGCAGUUACCUAAUACGUGAUUGUUUUGACGUUACCGACAGAAUAAGCACCGGCUAACUCUGUGCCAGCAGCCGCGGUAAUACAGAGGGUGCAAGCGUUAAUCGGAAUUACUGGGCGUAAAGCGCGCGUAGGUGGUUAGUUAAGUUGGAUGUGAAAUCCCCGGGCUCAACCUGGGAACUGCAUUCAAAACUGACUGACUAGAGUAUGGUAGAGGGUGGUGGAAUUUCCGGUGUAGCGGUGAAAUGCGUAGAUAUCGGAAGGAACACCAGUGGCGAAGGCGACUUCCUGGGCCAAUACUGACACUGAGGUGCGAAAGCGUGGGUAGCAAACGGGAUUAGAUACCCGAGUAGUCCCUGAGCGGGCUGGCAAGGCGCAU
rnacentral:rRNA from 1 species